ensembl:rRNA 5S_rRNA 5S ribosomal RNA
UUUAAUGGCCAUACCACCUUGAACGAGCCUGAUCUCGUCUGAUCUUGGAAGCUAAGCAGGGUCGGGCCUGGUUAGUCACUUGGAUGGGAGACCGUCUGGGAAUACCGGGUGCUCCAGGUG